GACGAACCUUGCAAACGUUAUUCGGAAUCACUGGGCGUAAAGGGUGCGUAGGCGGGUCUUUAAGUCAGGGGUGAAAUCCUGGAGCUCAACUCCAGAACUGCCUUUGAUACUGAAGAUCUUGAGUUCGGGAGAGGUGAGUGGAACUGCGAGUGUAGAGGUGAAAUUCGUAGAUAUUCGCAAGAACACCAGUGGCGAAGGCAGCUCACUGGCCCGGUACUGACGCUGAGGUGCGAAAGCGUGGGGAGCAAACAGG
rnacentral:rRNA from 1 species